rnacentral:rRNA from 1 species
UACGUAGGGUGCGAGCGUUGUCCGGAAUUAUUGGGCGUAAAGAGCUCGUAGGCGGUCUGUCGCGUCGAUCGUGAAAACUUGGGGCUUAACCCUGAGCUUGCGGUCGAUACGGGCAGACUUGAGUUCGGCAGGGGAGACUGGAAUUCCUGGUGUAGCGGUGAAAUGCGCAGAUAUCAGGAGGAACACCGGAGUCGGAAGGCGGGUCUCUGGGCAUUAACUGACGCUGAGGAGCGAAAGCUGGGGAGCAAACAGG